rnacentral:misc_RNA from 1 species
UAAUAAGUGUUUUACUGCACUUUUUAAAUAAGUACUCACCUUGUGUGCAAUGUUUGCUGGGUCGCGUCGUUCACGCGUCGCGUCAUCAGCAUAAUACCAACCUUUUAUUGAAAUUUUUUGUCUGAAGCUAUUUUGAAUAAAUAAUUCUAAAUA